rnacentral:rRNA from 1 species
UACGUAGGGUGCAAGCGUUGUCCGGAAUUAUUGGGCGUAAAGAGCUCGUAGGCGGUCUGUCACGUCGGCUGUGAAAUCCCGAGGCUCAACCUCGGGUCUGCAGUCGAUACGGGCAAACUAGAGUAUUGCAGGGGAGACUGGAAUUCCUGGUGUAGCGGUGAAAUGCGCAGAUAUCAGGAGGAACACCGGUGGCGAAGGCGGGUCUCUGGGCCGGGCCUGACGCUGAGACGCGAGGGCGUGGGGAGCGAACGGG